ACAAGCGAAAAGCUUAAAACUCAAAAGACUUGACGGUGUUCCACACCGACCUAGAGGAGCCUGUCCUAUAAUCGACACCCCACGAUAAACCUCACCCCUAAUUGCAAAACCACAGCCUAUAUACCGCCGUCGUCAGCCUGCCUAAUGAUAGUCAACUAGCAGACAAAAUAGAACAACACUCGCUAAAACGUCAGGUCAAGGUGUAGCUCAUAUAGGGGCAGAGAUGGGCUACAUUAUCUACAACACUAGAUUACCACCAAAAGCAACAUGAAAAUCAAGCUAAAAGGCGGAUUUAGCAGUAAACCGGACAAGAUAAGUCCUAUUGAAAAUUCGCUCUGGAACGCGUACACACCGCCC
rnacentral:rRNA from 1 species